rnacentral:rRNA from 1 species
GUAGGGGGCAAGCGUUGUCCGGAUUUAUUGGGCGUAAAGAGCGUGUAGGCGGCCAGGUAGGUCGGUUGUGAAAACUAGAGGCUCAACCUCUAGACGUCGACCGAAACCAUCUGGCUAGAGUCCGGAAGAGGAGAGUGGAAUUCCUGGUGUAGCGGUGGAAUGCGCAGAUAUCAGGAAGAACACCCGUGGCGAAGGCGGCUCUCUGGGACGGUACUGACGCUGAGACGCGAAAGCGUGGGGAGCGAACAGGAUUAGAUACCCUGGUAGUCCACGCCGUAAACGAUGGGUGCUAGGUGUGGGAGGUGUCGACUCCUCCCGUGCCGCAGCUAACGCAUUAAGCACCCCGCCUGGGGAGUACGGCCGCAAGGCUAAA